rnacentral:rRNA from 1 species
AUAUUGGGGAGAGACCGAUAGCGAACAAGUACCGUGAGGGAAAGAUGAAAAGCACUUUGGAAAGAGAGUUAAACAGUACGUGAAAUUGUCAAAAGGGAACCAUUUGAAGUUAGUCAUGCUUGCCUGGAUUCAGCCUUGCUUUUGCUUGGUGCAUUUCCAGGUUUGCAGGUCAGCAUCGGUUUUGACUGCUGGAUAAGGGUGAGAGGAAUGUGGCACCCUCGGGUGUGUUAUAGCCUUUCACUGGAUGCAGCAGUUGGGACCGAGGAACGCAGCGCGCCUUUAUGGCGGACCUUCGGGUACCUUCGCGCUUAGGAUGCUGGCAUAAUAGCUUUAAACGACCCGUCUUGAAACACGGACC